rnacentral:rRNA from 1 species
UACAUGGGGUGCAAACGUUGCUCGGAAUUAUUGGGCGUAAAGCGCACGUAGGUGGCCUGUUAUGUCAGAUGUGAAAGCCCUCGGCUUAACUGAGGAAGUGCACCUGAAACUGGCAGGCUUGAGUACGAAAGAGGGUCGCGGAAUUCCCGGUGUAGCGGUGAAAUGCGUAGAGAUCGGGAGGAAUACCGGUGGCGAAAGCGACUCUCUGGACGGCAACUGACGCUGAGGCACGAAAGCGUGGGGAGCAAACAGG